rnacentral:rRNA from 1 species
GCCUUNAGUAACUGCGAGUGAAGCGGCAAAAGCUCAGAUUUGAAACCUGCCGUAUUCUGCGGCUGGAUUGUAAUCUGGAGAGACAUCUUCCGUGGGUCUGGCUGGUCUAAGUUCCUUGGAACAGGACGUCAGAGAGGGUGAGAAUCCCGUAUCUGGCUGGCUCAGGCCCGCUUUGUGAAGUGUCUUCGACGAGUCGAGUUGUUUGGGAAUGCAGCUCAAAAUGGGUGGUAAAUUUCAUCUAAAGCUAAAUAUUGGCGAGAGACCGAUAGCGCACAAGUAGAGUGAUCGAAAGAUGAAAAGCACUUUGAAAAGAGAGUCAAAAAGUACGUGAAAUUGUUGAAAGGGAAGCGCUUGAGACCAGACUCGGGCUUAGGUGAUCAGCGGUGCUUCUGCUCCGUGCACUUGCCUAUGCCCGGGCCAGCAUCGGUUGCGGCGGCGGGAUAAAGGCCUGAGGAAUGUGGCCCCCUUCGGGGGGGUGUUAUAGCCCCAGGCGCAAUACCGCCAGUUGCGACCGAGGACCGCGCUUCGGCUAGGAUGCUGGCGUAAUGGUCUUCAGCGACCCGUCUUGAAACACGGACCAAGGAGUCUAACAUCUAUGCGAGUGUUCGGGUGUAAAACCCCUGCGCGUAAUGAAAGUGAACGGAGGUGGGAACCCUUCGCGGGGUGCACCAUCGACCGAUCCUGAUGUCUUCGGAUGGAUUUGAGUAGGAGCAUAGCUGUUGGGACCCGAAAGAUGGUGAACUAUGCCUGAAUAGGGUGAAGCCAGAGGAAACUCUGGUGGAGGCUCGCAGCGGUUCUGACGUGCAAAUCGAUCGUCAAAUUUGGGUAUAGGGGCGAAAGACUAAUCGAACCAUCUAGUAGCUGGUUCCUGCG